CAGCAGCCGCGGGAAUACAGAGGAUGCAAGCGUUAAUCGGAAUUAUUGGGCGUAAAGCGAGUGCAGACGGUUACUUAAGCCAGAUGUGAAAUCCCCAAGCUUAACUUGGGACGUGCAUUUGAAACUGGGUGACUAGAGUGUGUCAGAGGGAGGUAGAAUUCCACAUGUAGCGGUGGAAUGCGUAGAGAUGUGGAGGAAUACCGAUGGCGAAGGCAGCCUCCUGGGAUAACACUGACGUUGAGGCUCGAAAGCGUGGGGAGCAAACAGGAUUAGAUACCCCCGUAGUCCCUGUCUCUUAUAC
rnacentral:rRNA from 1 species